GACGAACGCUGGCGGCGUGCUUAACACAUGCAAGUCGAACGAUGAAGCCGGAGCUUGCUCUGGUGAAUUAGUGGCGAACGGGUGAGUAACACGUGAGUAACCUGCCCUUGACUCUGGGAUAACUGCUAGAAAUGGUAGCUAAUACCGGAUACGACCCUCGGAGGCAUCUCCAGGGGGUGGAAAGAAUUUCGGUCAAGGAUGGACUCGCGGCCUAUCAGCUAGUUGGUGGGGUAAUGGCUCACCAAGGCGACGACGGGUAGCCGGCCUGAGAGGGUGAACGGCCACACUGGGACUGAGACACGGCCCAGACUCCUACGGGAGGCAGCAGUGGGGAAUAUUGCACAAUGGGCGCAAGCCUGAUGCAGCAACGCCGCGUGAGGGAUGACGGCCUUCGGGUUGUAAACCUCUUUUAGUAGGGAAGAAGCGUAAGUGACGGUACCUGCAGAAAAAGCACCGGCUAACUACGUGCCAGCCGCCGCCGUAA
rnacentral:rRNA from 1 species